UAUAGCACAGUAGUUAUAUAAUAGAAGAGUACAAAUUAAAUUAAAUUAAGCACAUAGGUAAUUUAUAUAAUAAAGCCGGCAUCCAAAGUAAAUUUAACAAUACUUUUAAUAGUGAAGAUGCAAUAAGUAUUGAGAAUGGAGUGGAGAUUAAAAGGACAAUUUAAAGAUCUAAGAGUAUUAAUUAAGACUAGACGUUCGGAUACCAGAGCAGAGCAAUCGAAUAAUAUAUGAGAUGGAUCACAAAUACACUAAUUGAGAUGAAAUUUACAAAAUGGAAAGUUGUUUAAACCAAGUUUGAACGAAUGACUAGAUAUUUAAAUCGUGUACGAUCAAAUAUUUUUUGAGGGAGAAAGAAGAGGAGAGUAUGACGAGUAGGUUAUCUAUUAUAGCAAUCAGAUUUUUCAUUGAAAAUUUGUCAUAUGAAAAUGCAGUCACUAUAAUGUCCCUUCACUGAAUUGGUACCUAUACAGUGCGUGUUCAACGAUAAAGGUACCUGACAUGAAAUAUUUCGAACAUAUAACACUGAAUUUCAUUUGGGAUUUUUCAUUACAUAAAGAACUUAAAAUUACAUCUAUUUUUGAAAAAAUUUAAUUUUUAAAAAAAUGUCCCCGCGUGCGCAACGAAACAAUUUUUUAAUUGUACCCCUUUUUUAAGUUAAAAUUUUUUUUUAACACUUAUUUGGAAACUAUAUAUCUGUGAGGGUAAUUUACAAUAAGCAUAUAUGCGGUGUUUAUGUGUUUUUUUACGUGAAUUUCCAUGAGUUUAACGAACUACCCAACAGUAGUACUUAUGCGUGAAGGGAGUUUAAAUUUAAGUUAUUUUAUUCAAGCAAUUUUGAUUUAUAGAAUUUUUUUUAUUUCAAAAAUGUAUAUAUUGAGAGACUUAUUAAAGUUUUGAUUAAUGUUUUAUCGUAUUUUUUGACAGUCUAUCAACAAUUCUAUAGUGUUUUGUUCGAUUUUGUAUGUGAAAAUAAUUUAAGGGUGAUUUGCUUGCCAACCUACACCUGAACUAUCAAGAAAAAACAUGCGAAAUCACACUGGACAUUGAGAAAUUGUAGGAGGUGUGUAUAAAUACGAUGAAUACAAAAGCAUAAAUCCAAACAUUAACUCACAAUUAAUUUUUAAGAUGUAACAUAGAAAAAUAUUUUAUAAAUUAUAAGUCAAAGUAGCUUAAGAAAUUAAAGUAAUACAAAUUCCAACCUAAACAAGUGGGACGCAUAAUUUAAAAUAAUACACUGAACAUUUUUUUUUUCAAAUUUUAAAACCUUUAUGCAGUGGAAAAAAUUGAAAUUGAGAAUGAAAUUUAAAGUUAUAAGUUCGAUAUAUUUCGUGUUACUUUUAUCGUUAAAUAUACUGUAUUUGUGUAGGCUUAUAAUAAAUAUGAAUUUAUAUUAAUAGGCUUGUAUUAUAUAUUUAU